ensembl:lncRNA
AGGGCUUGGGUGCUUUGUGAGAGGUGUGCUGAUGAGCAAAGGGGCGGCAUCUGCAAAGAGAAUGGAAAUAUUUGCAUGCUUAACAGAACGAACAGGCUUUAAACCUAAGUGAGGUUCGGUUACAAAGGUGCAUGUCGAUCCCUUGGGUACUGCUCUGUGCGCCCACACGUGGAAGCACAUGCAUGGAGACACCUCAGACAACGGUGGGCCUUUCGUGGUUUGGCCUGUUUGCUUCAUUGGUUUGACUGCGUUGCUGUUUGCAGUUUCACGUGGCUGAGCACUUUUCAAAGAAACAACGUUAAAUCUGAGAACUGCAAACUGAAGAGGAGGCCGCCUGCUGUUUGCACUGACCGAGGCUGGGUGUGAUACAGGCACACCCAGCAGCAAUGCCCGGACAUCGUGGACAUCACACGUUGCCUUCUGCAGCCAUCCCAGCUGAGUUACAGCCAUCCUGAUUUCCACAACCUGUUCUGGCAUUGCAGCAGGAGCACGAAAAUCCUGACAUGGGAAGCAUACAUCUCCCUUAUUCUUGGGAAGUCCCCAAAUGCCUCCGUUGGGAUUGAGCUUCUGCUGUCCUAAGCAGUUAACAAAUGCUGCAAGUCAUAUUGUCCGCUUCCUAAACAUGGGCCAGAUAUUGAAUAGAAACAUGUUUCUCUCUGUAGCUUCGACCCACAGAAGGUUACAAAUCCAAACUGCCCAGCUGACUCAAGCUAGGAGCCUCCAAUUUAUCCACGGGCUUCUUCUGGCACAGAACCCACACGUCGUGCAAAGGACAGCUGUGAGUUCAUGGCGUUGUGCAGAGCUCUGCUCAUCCACCACUGACUUGAUCUUGUGAUUUUUGGAGCACGCUGUGGACGUGCAGCAAUGCAUUCUUAGUACUGAGAAGAAACUUCAAGAAAUGGAUAUCUGGCAAGUACUUAAAGUCAGUUCUGAAGUGAUGCUAGAAAUACCACAUUUCUGGUCAGGCCUAUUACUGCAACAUCAAUGAUGCCUUUGUUCCUCGGUGCUUUUAUCCCUUACCCAAACAGCUCAUGAGAUGGCAGAUUGACUGGGAGCCCAAAAUUGCCAGGAGGGCAGUAGCUGUAAGGAUACCAAAUGUUGCCAGCCCUCUUCAAAAGAAAUUACCUUCUGACAAAUAACCUAUUCCUGACACGGCGUGAGCCUGAUAGCAUCACAGUUGACAAUAGAAGGUAGCACUGGUACAGAUUUAAACAUCUCCUCUUAAAAGCAGUUUGUAAUCUUGGCAUAGUUAAUAACUGCAGCACUCCGUGAAGUAAAUACUCAUUAGCCCCUGUUCUAACAACGUGGAGUGGUGUGGCUCUGUGUCAUCAGUGACUCAGCCACACAGGGUCAGUUUCAGUUUGGGGAGCUUCUUCUUUACAGCCCCAUUGCUCUUUUAGGAAAUCCGGAAUGGUGGGCCCCAACCAGGCCUUGGCACCCCCUGUUACAUGGGGCCAGAGGAAAUGAUGCCAUUUCAAAUACAUUCCUGAGGGCACCAAGUGGGGUACAGUCUGAGGACACAGGUUGUCCUGAUAUGUCCUCCUGGUCCUACCAGACACACCUGGUGGUAUCUUGGGCACUGGUUUUGAAGCUUUUUAUAUAGGAUAUGGCACGGUCUCAAAACACUGCUGUACAGUAGCAAGCCAUGCUACAGACCCCUUCCCUCCACAACAAAGUCCCUGUCUGACUCCACCCCCAGCUCAGAUAUUACUGCGUGGCAGACAUUUCCCAAGCAGUCAGACAUUAAUGUAACCCACAGCGAGCUGUUGUAUGUGCACAAGCUGCUGAUACAGGGAGUGAGGGAUUUCGUAAGGCCCGAGGAAUAAGAGCAGUGAUUAAACACAAUUCUCCUUAGUGCACCUAAGCAUAAUAGUCUCUUGAUGUUGGCAUCUCCUUUUGAAAUGCUAAUGGCCUUCUUCUGGUUAGCUCUUUAGGAUCAGCGAGUAAAGAGGCAUUAGGAAAUAAAAGUACCAUUCGUGUUGAUAUGAAAGAGUUGUUCUACCCUACAAUGCAACUGCAAAUGGCACAAAGGAGUUUUAUGUUUGUUGUCUCCCUGCAG